rnacentral:rRNA from 1 species
UAUAUUAAUUAUUUGUGUUUAUUAUCUAAGUUUACAGUGAUGGAAAAUAUUAUUAUAAAUUUAUUGGUUUUUCUUACCUUUUGUAUAAUGGUUGAACAAGAAUUUAUCUAUUUAGAAAUUCCCGAAUUAAGAAGGGCUAUUUAAGAGCUUUUAUUAGAAUAAAACUUUAUGUUGCAAUAUGGAUUUUAGACUUUUAAAUAGGGGUGAAAUGCUUUCAAUUCUUAAGUUAUCUGGAAGUCCAAUAAAAGCAUCUAGUGCUUAAAAGCUAUAAAUAAAAUGUUUAGAUUUUAUUUUGUAAGGGUUUUAAUUAUCAUAAAUUAAUCUAGGUUUAACCUCUAAGAUUACUAUAUAAAUUAUAGAUUUAUUUUUAAGAUACCUUAAAAUUACACUGGACCUUUUAUCUCAAUUAAAUCGUAAAUUGAUAAUGUUUAAAUUAGUAAUAAUAGGAUUAAAGGAAAAUAUAUUGGUUGAUUUAAUUAUGGUUUUAUUUAAAAAUUAAAUGAAAGGAAUUCGGCAAAUAUAAACCUGGACUGUUUAACAAAAACAUAGCCAUCAGAUUAUAUUGUUGGUUCAACCUGCCCAAUGUAAAAUUAAUGGCCGCGGUACUUUGACCGUGCUAAGGUAGCGUAAUCAGUUGGCUUUUAAAUGGAGUCAGGAAUGAAUGGGAUAACCUGGUUUAGCUGUCUUUUAUUUAAUAUAUUGAAUUUACUGUUCAAGUGAAAAAGCUUGAUUUAUUUAAAGGGACGAGAAGACCCUUAGAAUUUUUUUUAAGAGAAUUAAUUUUUUUUGUAAUUUUGUUGGGGCGACAAAGAAGAACUUAAAACCUUCUUUAUAUUACAAGCCGGUUAUAUUAUGAAAGAAUAAAUUACCUGAGGGAUAACAGCAUAAUUCUAUAGUUGAGUUUGUGACCUCGAUGUUGGACUAGGAAACUAGCAGGCUAGCCGUUUGCUAUGUUGGUUCUGUUCGAACUUUUAUUCCUACAUGAUCUGAGUUCAGACCGGCGUAAGCCAGGUCAGAUUCUAUCUUUUUACAUUACAUCUCUAGUACGAAAGGACCGAGCUGUUUAAUUUUAUAAUUA